rfam:Camelus ferus unplaced genomic scaffold scaffold1683, whole genome shotgun sequence.
GAGGCUAUAGCUCAAGUGGUAGAGCACAUGCUUAAUUAGCAAGCAUGAGGUCCUGGGUUCAAUCCCCAGUACCUCCA